rnacentral:rRNA from 1 species
CGCGUAGGUGGUAGUGUAAGUCUGGGGUGGAAUCCCAGGGCUCAACCCUGGAACUGCCUUGGAAACUGCAUUACUUGAGUCAGUGAGGGGAGGGUAGAAUCCCUGGUGUAGCGGUGAAAUGCGUAGAUAUCAGGAGGAAGGCCUGUGGCGAAGGCGGCCCUCUGGCGCUGGACUGACACUGAGGCGCGAAAGCGUGGGGAGCAAACAGGAUUAGAUACCCUGGUAGUCCACGCCCUAAACGGUGGGCACUAGGUGUAGGGCUCGUAAGGGUUCUGUGCCGAAGGGAAACCAUUAAGUCGCCCCCGCCUGGGGGAGUACGGCCGCGAAAGGUUGAAA